UACGUAGGGUCCGAGCGUUGUCCGGAAUUACUGGGCGUAAAGAGCUCGUAGGCGGUUUGUCGCGUUGUCCGUGAAAACUCACAGCUCAACUGUGGGCGUGCGGGCGAUACGGGCAGACUGGAGUGCUGCAGGGGAGACUGGAAUUCCUGGUGUAGCGGUGGAAUGCGCAGAUAUCAGGAGGAACACCGGUGGCGAAGGCGGGUCUCUGGGCAGUAACUGACGCUGAGGAGCGAAAGCGUGGGGAGCGAACAGG
rnacentral:rRNA from 1 species